CCUACGGGUGGCUGCAGUAAGGAAUAUUGGACAAUGGCGGAGACGCUGAUCCAGCUAUCCCGCGUGCAGGAUGACGGCCCUACGGGUUGUAAACUGCUUUAGACUGGGGCGAAAAAGUGGGAUUUAUCCUACAUUGACGGUACCAGUAAAAUAAGCACCGGCUAACUCCGUUCCAGCAGCCGCGGUAAUACGGAGGGUGCCGGAAUUAUCCGGAAUCACGGGUUAUAAGGCGUGCUGUUAAGUCUUGUUUGAAAGGCCAUGGCUCAACUAUGGGAUUGCUUUUGCUACUGGCGAGCGUGGAUUAGGACGAGGUUGGCGGAAUGUGGCAAGUAGCGGUGAAAUGCAUAGAUAUGCCAUAGAAUACCGAUUGCGAAGGCAGCUGACUAGACCUAUAUUGACGCUGAGGCACGAAAGCGUGGGGAGCGAACAGGAUUAGAUACCCGAGUAGUC
rnacentral:rRNA from 1 species